rnacentral:rRNA from 1 species
AGAUACCCUACUAUGCUCAGCUGUAAACACAGACCCUUCUUUAUCCGCCAGAGAAUAACGAGCUAAAACUUAAAACUCAAAGGACUUGGCGGCAUUCCACACCACCCUAGAGGGGCCUGUCACAUAAUCGAUAACCCACGAUACACCUCACCCCUUUCCCCCGCCUAUAUACCGCCGUCGCCAGCCCAUCUUGAGAAAGAGACCAAAUGGGCUAAACAGUCCCACCACACUAGUACGACAGGUCAAGGUGUAGCCAAUAAAGCGGCAAUGAUGGACCACAUUGCCCAUAAAGCAAAACCAAAAUUGUGAUGAAACACGCACUUUAAGGUGAAUUUAACAGUAAGACGGGCAAGAAAACCCAUCUAAAGGCUGCCCUGGAACGUGCACACACCGCCCGUCAC